rnacentral:snoRNA from 1 species
UAGUUGUGACGAGGACAAUCUAUAAGCAUCCCCUUGAACCUCUCCCAAGCUGAAUAUAAAGACUCGUCCGACUUCUAUUUAAAAACAACUAUCUUACUUCUGAUUUU